rnacentral:rRNA from 1 species
GAUGAACGCUAGCGGCAGGCCUAACACAUGCAAGUCGAGGGGUAGAGGAAGCUUGCUUUCUUGAGACCGGCGCACGGGUGCGUAACGCGUAUGCAAUCUACCUUGUACAGAGGGAUAGCCCAGAGAAAUUUGGAUUAAUACCUCAUGGUAUUAUUGAAUGGCAUCAUUUGAUAAUUAAAGUUCCAACGGUACAAGAUGAGCAUGCGUCCUAUUAGCUAGAUGGUAAGGUAACGGGUUACCAUGGCUACGAUAGGUAGGGGUCCUGAGAGGGAGAUCCCCCACACUGGGACUGGGACACGGACCAGACUCCUACGGGAGGCAGCAGUGAGGAAUAUUGGACAAUGGGCGCAAGCCCGAUCCAGCCAUGCCGCGUGCAGGAAGACGCAUCUAUGGUGUGUAAACUGCUUUUGUACGGGAAGAAACACUUCCUCGUGAGGGAGCUUGACGGUACCGUAAGAAUAAGGAUCGGCUAACUCCGUGCCAGCCGCCGCCGUAAUAC